rnacentral:rRNA from 1 species
CAGUAGCGAAGGUCAUGAUCUCACACUGCCAAGAAAAGCCUCUAGCCAGGAGAAGGUGCCCGUACCGCAAACCGACACAGGUAGGCGAGAAGAGAAUUCUAAGGCGCGCGGAAGAACUCUCGUUAAGGAACUCGGCAAAAUGACCCCGUAACUUCGGGAGAAGGGGUGCCUCGGUAGGGUGAAUAGCCCGAGGGGGCCGCAGUGAAAAGGCCCAAGCGACUGUUUAGCAAAAACACAGGUCUGUGCGAAGCCGCAAGGCGAAGUAUACGGGCUGACGCCUGCCCGGUGCUGGAAGGUUAAGGGGAGCGGUUAGGGGUUAAACCCGAAGCUGUGAACCGAAGCCCCAGUAAACGGCGGCCGUAACUAUAACGGUCCUAAGGUAGCGAAAUUCCUUGUCAGGUAAAUUCUGACCCGCACGAAUGGCGUAACGACUUGGGCGCUGUCUCAACGAGAGAUCCGGUGAAAUUUUAAUACCUGUGAAGAUGCAGGUUACCCGCGACAAGACGGAAAGACCCCAUGGAGCUUUACUGCAGCUUGAUAUUGAACUUGGGUACGAUCUGUACAGGAUAGGUGGGAGCCUUGGAAGCCGGAGCGCCAGCUUCGGUGGAGGCGCCGUUGGGAUACCACCCUGAUCGUAUCUAGGUUCUAACCUGGUACCCUAAGCGGGUACGGGGACCGUGUCAGGCGGGCAGUUUGACUGGGGCGGUCGCCUCCUAAAGUGUAACGGAGGCGUCCCAAGGUUCCCUCAGAAUGGUUGGAAAUCAUUCGAAGAGUGCAAAGGCAGAAGGGAGCUUGACUGCGAGACCCACAAGUCGAGCAGGGACGAAAGUCGGGCUUAGUGAUCCGGUGGUACCGCAUGGAAGGGCCAUCGCUCAACGGAUAAAAGCUACCCUGGGGAUAACAGGCUUAUCUCCCCCAAGAGUCCACAUCGACGGGGAGGUUUGGCACCUCGAUGUCGGCUCAUCGCAUCCUGGGGCUGAAGUAGGUCCCAAGGGUUGGGCUGUUCGCCCAUUAAAGCGGUACGCGAGCUGGGUUCAGAACGUCGUGAGACAGUUCGGUCCCUAUCUGUCGUGGGCGUAGGAAAUUUGAGAGGAGCUGUCCUUAGUACGAGAGGACCGGGAUGGACGUACCGCUGGUGCACCAGUUGUUCCGCCAGGAGCAUGGCUGGGUAGCUACGUACGGACGGGAUAAGCGCUGAAAGCAUCUAAGCGUGAAGCCCCCCUCAAGAUGAGAUUUCCCAAGUUAGUAAGACCCCUUGAAGACGACGAGGUAGAUAGGUUGGAGGUGGAAG